GUCCACGCCGUAACGAUGAUAACUCGCUGUUGGCGAUACACAGUCAGCGGCUUAGCGAAAGCGUUAAGUUAUCCACCUGGGGAGUACGCUCGCAAGAGUGAAACUCAAAGGAAUUGACGGGGCCCGCACAAGCGGAGGAACAUGUGGUUUAAUUCGAUGAUACGCGAGGAACCUUACCUGGGCUUAAAUGUGGAGUGACUGCCGAAGAAAUUUGGUUUUCCGCAAGGACACUCUACAAGGUGCUGCAUGGUUGUCGU
rnacentral:rRNA from 1 species